GGAGGAAAAGAAACCAACAGGGAUUGCCCCAGUAACGGCGAGUGAAGCGGCAACAGCUCAAAUUUGAAAUCUGGCCCUCGGGUCCGAGUUGUAAUUUGUAGAGGAUGCUUUUGGCGAGGUGCCUUCCGAGUUCCCUGGAACGGGACGCCAUAGAGGGUGAGAGCCCCGUCUGGUCGGACACCGAGCCUCUGUAAAGCUCCUUCGACGAGUCGAGUAGUUUGGGAAUGCUGCUCAAAAUGGGAGGUAUAUGUCUUCUAAAGCUAAAUAUUGGCCAGAGACCGAUAGCGCACAAGUAGAGUGAUCGAAAGAUGAAAAGCACUUUGAAAAGAGGGUUAAAAAGUACGUGAAAUUGUUGAAAGGGAAGCGCUUAUGACCAGACUUGCGCCCGGUGAAUCAUCCAGCGUUCUCGCUGGUGCACUUUGCCGGGCACAGGCCAGCAUCAGUUUGGCGCGGGGGAAAAAGGCUUCGGGAAUGUGGCUCCCUCGGGAGUGUUAUAGCCCGCUGCGUAAUACCCUGCGCCGGACUGAGGUACGCGCAUCGCAAGGAUGCUGGCGUAAUGGUCAUCAGCGACCCGUCUUGA
rnacentral:rRNA from 1 species